rnacentral:rRNA from 1 species
UUGAAAUCGAAAAUAUUCCAAGAUGGCAAAUAUUCAGAGAUGACUAUGAAAACACCUCUCUGGAUCCUCGAAUUGAAAGAGAGAUUGAGAGGGAUCAAGAAUCCUAAUUCUCGCUAUUUGGAAUGGAUCCAAUUCUAUUGA